UACAGAGGUCCCAAGCGUUGUUCGGAUUUACUGGGCGUAAAGGGUGCGUAGGCGGUCGGGUAAGUCUGACGUGAAAUCUUCAAGCUUAACUUGGAAACUGCGUCGGAUACUAUUCGGCUUGAGGAAUGGAGGGGAGACUGGAAUACUUGGUGUAGCAGUGAAAUGCGUAGAUAUCAAGUGGAACACCAGUGGCGAAGGCGAGUCUCUGGACAUUUCCUGACGCUGAGGCACGAAAGCCAGGGGAGCAAACGGG
rnacentral:rRNA from 1 species